rnacentral:ncRNA from 12 species
GGGUGUUCGCCAGUCGUGGCGGGCAGGGUGCAGCGCUGGUCGGGCCGCCGGCG